GGAGGAUUCGCCUAGUGGCCUAUGGCGCUGGCUUGGAAAGUCAGUUGGGAGUAAUCCCUCAAGGGUUCAAAUCCCUUAUCCUCCG
rnacentral:tRNA from 1 species